rnacentral:rRNA from 1 species
UACGGGGGGGGCAAGCGUUGUUCGGAAUUACUGGGCGUAAAGGGCUUGUAGGUGGCCAACUAAGUCAGACGUGAAAUCCCACGGCUUAACCGAGGAACUGCGUCUGAUACUGGAUGGCUUGAGUGUGGGAGAGGGAUGCGGAAUUCCAGGUGUAGCGGUGAAAUGCGUAGAUAUCUGGAGGAACACCGGUGGCGAAGGCGGGUCUCUGGGCCGUUACUGACGCUGAGGAGCGAAAGCGUGGGGGGCGAACAGG